GGGAGGGAGGCAAUGUUUGGACCCAAAUUUACAUCAUCGGCCCGUGCGAUCGAGGCCGUUGAAUGAGCAUAGCUCUUAACCAUCGGAUGAAAAAUGAAGAUAAUUUUGUUAUUAUUGAAAGAUAAUAUUAUGAUUUUUAUCAUAAUAAUUAUCGUUUAACAAAUUAUCUUGAUAUUUUCUUAUACGGGAAGCAGUACAAUUCAAAUAGACUUAGGACUCCUAUUAUCAGAUUGUGCAGCAUGGUGAUGGUGCAUUAAGAUGAGGUUUGAAUGGUCAAGAUGCAUGGUUUGAAGUCAAGAUAACGAUGCAAACUAGAAUAUCAUUGGUACAUGGAAUUUGGAUGACAGAGAUCCAUGGCAUUUAAAUAUUAUAACCAAUCUUUGGAUUAGAUUGGUGUUCUGCAAAGAUGAAAGGAGCACACGGCAUUGACCCGAGGAAUCUUGACUCUGAGGGAUAUUAUCAAAAAGGUUCUUUAUCACAAUAUCCUGACCCUGAGAGUUAGAAUGGAACUGGAAUACUUUAUUUCAGUGGUUGAGCAUUACAAAAUCUAUAAAUAGAGGCAGUGGCAACGACAAAAAAGGACCUCCAAUUUAACACACAAUUGCCCUACGCAAAUUCUCUCAACAACCUUGAGACUUUUUCCUUUUCUUUUUUCACCGACACAAAUUCAGUUUGGAUAAACAGCACUGUGAAGGCAACCGGUGAUAUCUUUAGUCGGCAUAGAUAUCACUAUCACCGUA
rnacentral:lncRNA from 1 species